rnacentral:ncRNA from 1 species
UUCAGUGUGUAGAGAAAUCUGCACAUCGUGACAGUACGACUGUCCAACAAAGAAAUUGAAUUGCUUGAAAACCCUAAAGCCUGCUUGACCACAACGUAGAGAUAAUCAAACUCAAGCGUGAAGGUUGCGAAACUGCAGAAAAAAUAAGCAGGAUGACAUAAGGUUAAAACCUAAGUGUUUUUUGCAAUGGGCAACUAGCAGCCAAGCCUAGAAAUAGGAAGGUUCAACGACUAUUCCUCUUGAGGGAAGUACACACAAGCGUGUGGAAGUGGUUUCGCCGUAAUGGAUAAUGCCAACGGAAAAGAUAUAGUCUGUGCUUGUAUGAAAAUACAAG